AAUGAGCCUGCGAGUGACGGUAUGUGGCAAGGUUAACCAGUGAUGGGGAGCCGAAGCGAAAGCGAGUCUGAAUAGGGCGUUGAGUCGCAUGCUGUCGACCCGAAGCCAAGUGAUCUAUCCAUGGCCAGGUUGAAGCGGGGGUAAGACCCCGUGGAGGACCGAACACACGUCAGUUGAAAAUGGCGGUGAUGAGCUGUGGAUAGGGGUGAAAGGCCAAACAAACUUGGUGAUAGCUGGUUCUCCUCGAAAUGUAUUUAGGUACAGCGUCGUGCGUUCAGUCUCGGAGGUAGAGCACUGGAUGGGCUAGGGGGCCUACAAGCUUACCGAACCCAGCCAAACUCCGAAUGCCGAGACUCCAGAGCACGGCAGUGAGACUACGGGGGAUGAGCUUCGUUAGUCGAAAGGGAAACAGCCC
rnacentral:rRNA from 1 species